rnacentral:lncRNA from 1 species
CUCCGGAACUCGGGGAAGAGCGUCCGGGAGCCGGGUCUGGGUUCCGCACUCCGUCCGCCCCGAUGGCAGAGAGUGAGAUACGGACGCCCCGGGACGAGGGGCUCAGGACCCGGCUACGGACACCUGCCUCCAUCUCCCUCCAGAUAACACAAGUGUGAAGAGAGGGGAGAGCAGCAAAGGCUGAGCUGCGUGUGCCUGGUCCCUUCCAGACUUUCCAGAUAACUUUGCCCCACGGAGGACAAGGAAAGCCAAAAGAGAGAAGCCAGGAUUGUUAGUCUUGGAAAAUGCCUCCAUAUAGAAACAUGAGCCGGAGAAUAAAUCACUUGCCUCUCUAACCA